UGAAAGGAAUGUAGUAGGAGAAACCAGUGC
rnacentral:piRNA from 1 species